rnacentral:rRNA from 1 species
UACGUAGGGUGCGAGCGUUAAUCGGAAUUACUGGGCGUAAAGCGUGCGCAGGCGGUUUUGUAAGCCAGAUGUGAAAUCCCCGGGCUUAACCUGGGAAUGGCAUUUGGGACUGCAAGGCUGGAGUUUGGCAGAGGAGACUGGAAUUCCCGGUGUAGCAGUGAAAUGCGUAGAUAUCGGGAGGAAUACCGAUGGCGAAGGCGGCAUCCUGGACCGGCAUUGACGCUGAGGAGCGAAAGCUAGGGGAGCAAACGGG